rnacentral:rRNA from 1 species
UUUAGUGACGAUAGCGAAGAGGGUCACAUAGUUUCCCAUGCGAACACGAUCGUUAAGCUCUUUUGCGCCGAUGGUAGUUGAAGUUUCCCCCUGUGAGAGUAGGACGUUGCUAAAC